rnacentral:misc_RNA from 1 species
CCCUCCCCCUCCUCCCCCGUCAAUGGGUGGAAUGUCAUCAAUGCCAGGGAUGCCCCCUGGAAACAUGCCUCCUCCAAUGAUGUCCAUGCAGCAGCCAAUGCCUCCCCCUCCCAUGCCCCCACCCAUGGGCAACCCCCAGUACCCUCCUCAACACGGUCAGAUGCCGUACCCCCCUCCCCCCAGAUCUGGACACCCGGGAAUGCCUCCCUCGGCAGGCGGUCACUCCCAGGCUCCCCCUCCCCCUCCCUCAUCACAAUCAGGAUCACAGAUGCCCCCUCCUCCAGGUGUUCCAGGGAUGGGCAUGCCCCCUCCCCCUCCUGGUAUGAGACCACCCCCUGGUUGGCGACCUCCUCCAGGAAUGAGGGGCCCUCCUCCACCUAUGUAUGGUCGACCCCCACCUCCAGGGAUGAGACCCCCGCCUCCCGGUAUGAGGGGACCACCCCCUCCCCCAGGCAUGAAUCACCAGGCCCCACCCCCACCCAGACAGCCCCCACCCCCUGCCCCUCCUGCCUCAAGAAGUUACUGAGUGACCCUCUUAAAGGAACCAUUGUGGAAACAGCAUCCAAGGAUCAAGAGAACAUUGUGGGGGGUGGAGAAACUUUCAGGGGUGUGUUGGAAGUUAUAAUGUGCAAGUACAUUAACAUCAUGAUCAUUUCAUUGGUCAAUAAAGCAGUGUUUUCAUAUCAUGUCCAUCUAUCAUGUUAAAACUUGUCUGUGUUUCAUUUAGGAGCUUCAAGUUCAGAUCAUGAAUGAUUUCUUGUUCUGUACAUAUAAAGAAAAUACCAUUUUAAAUAAAUUAAUGAAACAAC